GUAGCUAAAUGCGGAAGAGAUAAGUGCUGAAAGCAUCUAAGCACGAAACUUGCCCCGAGAUGAGUUCUCCCUGACUCCUUGAGAGUCCUGAAGGAACGUUGAAGACGACGACGUUGAUAGGCCGGGUGUGUAAGCGCAGCGAUGCGUUGAGCUAACCGGUACUAAUGAACCGUGAGGCUUAACCUUACAACGCCGAAGGUGUUU
rnacentral:rRNA from 1 species